CAAUAGCGUAUAUUUAAGUUGUUGCAGUUAAAAAGCUCGUAGUUGGAUUUCGGUUAAGAGCGACCGGUCCGCCGUUUGGUGUGCACUGGUUGGUUUUAACUUCCUGUAGAGGACGUGCUCUGGGUUUAACGACCUGGACUCGGAGUCUACGUGGUUACUUUGAGAAAAUUAGAGUGUUCAAAGCGGGCUUACGCUUGAAUAUUUCAGCAUGGAAUAACACUAUAGGACUCCUGUCCUAUUUCGUUGGUCUCGGGACGGGAGUAAUGAUUAAGAGGAACAGUUGGGGGCAUUCGUAUUUCAUUGUCAGAGGUGAAAUUCUUGGAUUUAUGAAAGACGAACUUCUGCGAAAGCAUUUGCCAAGGAUGUUUUCAUUAA
rnacentral:rRNA from 1 species